GAACGAGUAUUGCAGCAGAAUCGGUAACACCAGAUACAAUUUAUAUAGCAUCUCCACCCAAUUCAAGAUACCACUCUAUCGAACAAUCUACAUUCACCACUGUCGCACUUCAUCUCACCACCAUUCACCUUCGCCUCCUCCUUUUCUCUCUAACUCUAUCGGCUGAUCUGGAAUCAAUGUCUUUUUCCUAUCAUCAUUGCACUAUGCCUCUCUCUACCUUCUCCCCCCCAUCAAUAUUCAACUUGCGUUCACGAUUUCUCACUUUCAUCGCCGCUGCUUUGCAAAACCAACCCUCGACCAUACUUGGAAAACUUAGAUAUAUAUAGCCCCGAAGAUUCAGAGGCAGAAUCAUCUGGUAUGGUUUCUUUCUUUUUAACGAUUUUGGGUUUCAUUUAGAGCUUGUUUUUAUUAAACCGAAAAACUGCAUGUGGGUUACGAUGAAUCUGUGUUUGAAUGUUAGGUAUGGUUUUUAUUUUGUUGUUUUUACUCAAAAUGAUUUCCGAAUAGAUCUAUGUUUGGGGGCUGAAGAUUACAUCUGUCGUUUUUUUGGCUUUCGAUUUUGAUAGUCAUAUUUAUGAUUUUUGUUGAUUUAUUUUACAUAAUAAUUUUAUUGAUUUAUUUUGGUAAAAUUUCAAAUUUAAUGAACUUGAAUUUGUGUGUUUUUGAUGAAAUUAUUUGCAGAUGCAUGAAGAUCUUGUAAUGAAGGAUAAAGAUGGAUGUAUGUUUUUGUUUGAUUUUGCAAUGUGCAAUCAUUUUUUAUUUACCAUACAUCUUAUAUGUUUGUGUUUGUGUUAUGUAUGUUGCAGAUAUGAGUUUCUGCUGAAGAACAUAUUUUGUUCUCAUAUUUGAGUCAGAUCUGUGUCGAUCUAUGUUUUAUCCCAUUUCACAUUUUUUUUUCGAAUCUCAUCAAAACAAAAGAAAAGCACACACGCCAAGAGGUAAAGUCUGCAAGUUAUUUUUAGGCUUUUUCUUGGGUUCGUUUUCUUAAAUUUCGACUUUUAUAUCAAAAUUUUAUAUCUGUAUUUUGUUUUUCCAUGUUUGUUUGUUAUUCUUAUCAGAUCUGUAAAAUUUAAAGUUUAUGUUUAUCUCAAGGUACAUAGAUUUGUGGUUAUUUAUCAUGUAUAGAGAGUUAGAGUUUAUUUAAUAUUUACCAGGUGUUAUAUAAUAAAGUAUAUACAUAUUUGUUUUUCAUUUCAGGUUUUAUAGAACUUGAGUUGCUGUUUGUUGAUUCCAGAUAAGCAAUGAAGCUGAUUUUUUACUUUUUUGGUUUCUUGAUAAAAAUCUAAAACUGGAAGCAAGUUUGAACUUGUAAAUGUUGUAGUCUUUUUGGUGAACAAUUUGAAAUGAUAUAUUUUUAAUACAGUUUGUAUACAAUUUUAAUAAUGGAUUGUAUUUGUCUUUGUUUAUGAAAUUAAACUGAUAAAUGUUGGCUUCGUUUAUGAUUAUAAAAUUAAACUGACAAAUGUUGGUUUUAUGAGAUGGAAAAGUGUAUUUUGUAUCUUGUGAAUCUUAGGAAUAUAUGUAAAACUUAAAAAU
rnacentral:lncRNA from 1 species